rnacentral:tRNA from 1 species
GGUAAAAUGGCUGAAUUGUAGGCGAUAAAUUGUAAAUUUAUUUAUGAAUGUUUUUCUUUUACCA